GAAGUGUGCUCUUCAGAGCCCGCCUAAAUUGGUGUCUACAGAUUGAAUUUCCAGAGGCUUAGGAGGAGGAGUUCUCCAAUGUCCUGUUUCCAGGCCUUGCUCAGGAAGCCCUGUAUUCAUUCAGGAGACCAUCUGUUAAGGUUUUCAGAUGAGCUUAUGAGGGGGCAAUCUUUAAAAGU